rnacentral:rRNA from 1 species
CGCAAGCCUGACGGAGCAACGCCGCGUGUGGGAAGAAGGCUCUUGGGCUGUCAACCACUUUUCUCAGGGAAGAAGUCCUGACGGUACCUGAGGAAUCAGCCUCGGCUAACUCCGUGCCAGCAGCCGCGGUAAUACGGAGGAGGCAAGCGUUAUCCGGAAUUAUUGGGCGUAAAGCGUCCGCAGGGGGCGCAUCAAGUCUGCUGUUAAAGGUCGGAGCUAAACUCCGGUUCGGCAGUGGAAACUGAAUGGCUAGAGUGCCGUAGGGGUAGAGGGAAUUCCCGGUGUAGCGGUGAAAUGCGUAGAGAUCGGGAAGAACAUCGGUGGCGAAAGCGCUCUACUGGACGGCAACUGACACUCAGGGACGAAAGCUAGGGGAGCG